CGGUUUGGAAGGGAAACACCUUACUAAGCCCGUGCUGAAACAGGUCUCGGUUUGGAAGGGAAACACCUUACUAAGCCCGUGCUGAAACAGGCCUCGGUUUGGAAGGGAAACACCUUACCAGCCCCUUGCUGAAACAGGCCUCGGUUUGGAAGGGAAACACGUUACUAAGCCCGGGCUGAAACAGGUCUCGGUUUGGAAGGGAAACACGUUACUAAGCCCGUGCUGAAACAGGUCUCGGUUUGGAAGGGAAACACCUUACCAGCCCCUUGCUGAAACAGGUCCACGGUUUGGAAGGGAAACACGUUACUAAGCCCGGGCUGAAACAGGUCUCGGUUUGGUUCUUAUAUGGCUGUUACACAGUUCCAAGCUCAAGUGACUCAUAGGCUUUUGUUUUCAACUAUUUGUCAAUAUAUCAAACACAAUGUGUCAAUAUCCUGAACUUGACAAUACAUGAAGUUUGUUUGAGUGACGUAAACCGCUUUUGCCAGCCAAAAUACCUGAACACACAGUCUCACAUACAGUUCAUGCACACCACUGCUCAGAUCCUACUUUUAUUCUGCAGAAUAUCAGUUUUUCAUGUAGAGGAGAUAAAUAGUUUGAGUCAAUUAGCAUGCCAAUGCUUGUUCAUAAUAACAUGUUCAAAGGUUUUGUAUAUUUAUAUAUUUGUAUAGAAUAUAAAGGUGGGAAUUAUUUAAAAGCUGCUCUCUGUUCAGCCAUUACAUUCCACUCCUUGACAUUCAUGUCAUUUGCCAAAGACUGGAGUGGCAAGGAGUGGAAUGCUAGCUAAAAAGACAGGAGUGGCAAUAUUGAGAUUUAGGAAGCAUUGGGCGUUAAAAGGGCCUUACUAUUACAUCAAUCUCUAUCUCGGUGACAGAAAGAGGACUUUGGCGUAACUUUUUUUUUUAAGGAAUUAAAGAUUGGGUGUUUGUUGUGGAAAGGGAGUCAGAAUGGAUGCUGGUUGGUGUGGUGAUUGAGUGAAUUUUAGUGUAUCCUAUGUCCACAGCCAGCCUUUACCAAAAAUAGUUACCUAAUCCAUUGGUAGACAACACUGGUCCUGGAGAGCAGUUUGACAUUUUACUGCUAGUAACGUAAGCAUGUUGCUGCACCCGCUAUAACAUCUGCCAAACUGUAUGUAACCAAUAAACGUUGAUAUGCAGCAGUCCUAAUCUGGACCCCUUUUUGACUCCUUGUUGUUAUGUGUUGGGAGAUCAUUUAAAAACAGACAACUACCAAGCACAGGACUUUGUGUUUACCUGGCCAUAUCAGCUCUGAAGUCUCAUCACAGACUGUCAUGCUCUAUGAUUCCCUCCGUUUAUAGCCAGAGGAGGGCAGUAAGGAGCCAUUCAAGAGCUACUGGGACUGUGGGGAGAUGGAAGAAUGUUUUGGGGAGGAUGUGGAGCCAUCAGAGGGUCUAGUCAGAAAGUGGUGUGUUACCACAAACUGCAGACUGGUGUACCUGCACUUGCUAUACUGUAGUGUUGUCCUUGGAGGCAACAUCAUUUGACUCUUUCAUAUAUAGGUCUAUACAGCAUUCAGAAAGUAUUCAGAUAUCUUUGUCAUUAUGGGGUAUUGUGUGGAUUGAUGAGGGGUAAAAACAAUUUAAUCCGUUUUAGAAUAAGGCUGUAACGUAACAAAAUGUGGAUAAAGUCAAGGGGUCUGAAUACUUUCUGAAUGCACUGUAAAUACACAGUGUACAAAACAUUAAGAACACCAUCUUACUAUUGAGUUCCACCCCCCUUUUAGCCCUCAGAACAGCCUCGAUUUGUUGGGGCGUGGACUCUACAAGGUGUCAAAAGCAUUCCACAGGGAUGCUGGCCCAUGUUGACACCAUUGCUUUCCAUAGUUGUGUCAAGUUGGCUGGAUAUUUUUUGGGUGGUGGACCAUUCUUAAUACACGUGGGAUACUGUUGUGUGAAAAACACCUCAGCGUUGCAGUUGUUGACACACACAAACCGUUGAUCCUGGUACCUACUACUGUACCCUGUUCAAAAGCACUUCAAUAUUUUCUCUACCCAUUUACCCUUUGAUUUUCUCUGCUUUUCCCCCAAAGCCGAGUGCAAUGCUCUCCACCAGUUUGGCUAUGGUUACAAUUAGCUACAAUUACUUUACCUCAAACUAGUGAAAGUAAUUAUUCUUUAAAACAUUGGAUUCAUUCUCAGACAUGGUCAAAAGGAGAAACAGUAGACGUUACGCUCUCUACAGACAGUGCAUGAUAAUGUGUGCCCUCAACACGGGUGCUCAUGGUCUACUCAGAUUUGGAUUGAUCAAGGUGUAAGGAAGUUAUGUAAUAUCAUUUAGCUAUACUAUCAUGUUAUAUUAAUAGCCAACUAACAAAUACUAAAGCAUCAAACAAGUAUUUCUCAUUUCAUUUGUUUAGCUGUUUGUUUAGAGGCAGUUGCCAUUUGGAAUAUUACGGUUUUGGUUCAUUUAAAACAAAACAAAAAUUAAAUCAUCAAUGAUAUUUACUCAGUUGAUGUAAAACAGUUUUGGAACUUUAUUUGGAUUGUAACUCUGUUUCCUUUAGGGUACAAAGUUUUGUCCUUUUUUCCAGGAAAAUAAAAGAUUUGACGCUGUCUGUA